AGUGCAGCAUCGACUAUGUCGAAUAAAGUUCUAGAUAGAGUUAUGAUAAUGACAUUUUCUAUCUAUGUGUCUCGACCAAAUCACGUGCCAGCAGUCGCGGUAAUACGUGGGAGACUAGUGUUAUUCAUCUUUAAUUGGUUUAAAGGGUACCUAGACGGUUCAUCAAGCCCCNAAAGGGUACUAAUGGACUAGAGUUUUAUGAGAGGGGGGGUGUACAUGAGAGUGGAGAGAUGAAAUACUGUCAUACCUUAUYUGAUACAGGCAACAGCGAAAGCAACCUUUUAUGUAAAAACUGACGUUGAAGGACGAAGGCUUAGUAUAACCAACAGGAUUAGAUACCCCAGCAGUCUUUGCAGACAAUGAUGAAUGUCAUAGAUUGGAAUUAAGUAUUUUUUU
rnacentral:rRNA from 1 species